UUAUUGUCAUUGUAGGUCUUGUGUUCAAGUUCUCUUGUGACUUGUCAUCGUUGUCAUACUCAGCAUGCCUGACAAUGACAACAGCGACUAUAACAAUAACAGUAACAAUAAGCACUAACAACAAAUACAACUACAACUACAACAGCAGCUAAUCAACAAGAACUCAACAAACCAACAACUUCAUUUGGCAAGGCUCUCUGUGACAUGGCUCAUAUUACACGCACCUCGAGUGUGUGUGUGUGUGCCCCCUCCCCCUUCCCCUUCCCCGUCCCCUGCUCUGUACAGCUCGUCCGUGUCGAACUCAUGCACAAUUAGUCACUUGCAAGUCAAUUAAGUUCCCAGCGUCAAACCACCACAACAAACGCUGCCAGUUUCAGACCGAGUUCCAUUCCCAGUUGAGAUCCUAACCCAGACAGGCACGUAUGGAGGGCUAGUAAAGGCACGAGGAUGGGCAUGGGCAUGGAAAUGGAAAUGGGGAUACCUGUGACCAGGUCUGGGACACGACCACAUGACUGGGACUCUGGCGCUUAUUUGCAGUAAAAAGCAAUGACAACGUUGGCGACAGCGACGCGAGAAAAGUAAAGAGAAAGAAAGAGAGACAGCAACGAUGAAGGCGAGGAAAAGCUGCGAACGGGACCAGCUAAUGAAUACAAAUUAGCCGCAAAAGGUGCGCACUUCUGACGCUAACUUUGACAA